rnacentral:rRNA from 1 species
GACGAACGCUGGCGGCGUGCCUGACACAUGCAAGUCGGACGGUUCUUGUACCUUCAAGCUUGCUUGUUGGUGCAAGGAUAGUGGCGGACGGGUGAGUAACGCGUGAACAUCUACCCAUUGGAGGGGGACAACCCGUCGAAAGGCGGGCUAAUACCGCGUAAGCCGCGAGGUGAGAGGCUGCCUAUUGGUGGCCGCCGAUGGAUGGGUUCGCGUCCUAUCAGCUGGUUGGUGGGGUAACGGCCUACCAAGGCGAAGACGGGUAGCCGGUCUGAGAGGAUGGCCGGCCACACUGGAACUGAGACACGGUCCAGACUCCUACGGGAGGCAGCAGUGGGGAAUAUUAGUAAUGGGCGAAAGCCUGAACUAGCAACGCCGCGUGUGCGAAGAAGGCCUUCGGUUGUAAGACACUUUUGUAGAGGAUGAGGAAGGACGGUACGUCUCAGAAUAAGUCUCGGCUAACUACGUG